ACUUGAUAGUACCUUACUACUUGGAUAACAGUGGUAAUUCUAGUGCUAAUACAUGCUUUAAGCCCCGACUUCUGGAAGGGGUGUAUUUAUUAGAUUAAAAACCAAUCGUAGCAAUACGUUUACUGGUGAAUCAUGAUAACUAUUCGAAUCGCAUGGCUCUGCCGGCGAUGGUUCAAUCAAAUUUCUGCCCUAUCAAGUUUCAAUCGUAGUAUAGAGGACUACGAUGCUUACAACGGGUAACGGAGAAUUAGGGUUCGAUUCCGGAGAGGGAGCCUGAGAAACGGCUACCACAUCCAAGGAAGGCAGCAGACGCGCAAAUUACCCAAUCCCGACACGGGGAGGUAGUGACAAUAAAUAACAAUACAGAGCUUUUUAAGUUUUGUAAUUGUAAUGAGAACAAUUUAAACCUCUUAUCGAGAACCAAUUGGAGGGUAAGUCUGGUGCCAGCAGCCGCGGUAAUUCCAGCUCCAAUAGCGUAUAUUAAAGUUGUUGCAGUUAAAAAGCUCGUAGUUGAAUUUUGGACUUGGCUGGGCGGUCUUUGCGAAUGCAUAGCACUUCUCUGGCUGAGUCUUUCCUUCUGGCGAACUAUUGUGCUAUUUAUUUAGUGCGAUAGGGAACCAGGACUUUUACUUUGAAAAAAUUAGAGUGUUUAAAGCAGGCUUACGCUUGAAUACAUUAGCAUGGAAUAAUAAAAUAGGACUUUUGGUUUUAUUUUGUUGGUUUUCGAAACCAAAGUAAUGAUUAAUAGGGAUAGUUGGGGGCAUUACUAUUGAGUCGUCAGAGGUGAAAUUCUUGGAUUGACUCAAGAGUAACUACUGCGAAAGCAUUUGCCAAGGAUGUUUUCAUUAAUCAAGAACGAAAGUUAGGGGAUCGAAGACGAUCAGAUACCGUCGUAGUCUUAACCAUAAACUAUGCCGACUAGCGAUCAGGCAAUGUUCAAUAAUGACUUGCUUGGCAGCUUAUGAGAAAUCAAAGUUUUUAGGUUCCGGGGGGAGUAUGGUCGCAAGGCUGAAACUUAAAGGAAUUGACGGAAGGGCACCACCAGGAGUGGAGCCUGCGGCUUAAUUUGACCCAACACGGGGAAACUCACCAGGUCCAGACAUAGUAAGGAUUGACAGAUUGAGAGCUCUUUCUUGAUUCUAUGGGUGGUGGUGCAUGGCCGUUCUUAGUUGGUGGAGUGAUUUGUCUGGUUAAUUCCGUUAACGAACGAGACCUUAACCUGCUAAAUAGUUGCAUUCACUUUUGUGGAUGAUCA
rnacentral:rRNA from 1 species